AUGCGCCACCUCGCCCGCCUCCUCAACCACCGCCUCCUCCUCCCCUCCACCGCCACCGCCACCUCCUCCGCCGCCGCGGCCUUCUCCACCUCCAAGCGCGCCUACCCCAGCCGCGCCAAGCCGCGCCCGCCGCCGCCCAGCGAGAGCCCCGCGGAGGACGCGGCCGGAGACGACGGGGACGCGCCCGCCCCGGCGGACCCCGCGGCGUGGCAGCGGGAGAAGGUCCCCAGCGAGCUGCCCCGCCCGCCCACCAUCCCCUUCCAGCCCAGCGUCGCCAACGCCGUCCGCCUCGUCGGCACCGUCGGCGCGCCCGUGCAGCUCCAGCGCCUCCCCGACGGCCGCUUCUCUGCCGUCUCCGUGCUCGUGCAGGACCGCCGCGCCGACUUCCCCAAGUUCUGGAUCCCUGUAAUCUUUCAAGACGACUUGGCACAAAUAGCUGCUUCUCACUUGCAAGAAAAGGACCUUGUCUAUGUGUCUGGGCAAUUAACUGGAGAUGUUCCGCCAUUCAAACAUACUGAUGGCCAAGCAAACAUUCAGGUUGUAGCACAUUUGCUGUCAUUUGUUGAUAGUAAAGCUGUGGAAACGGAUCUCAUGGUGGAUGAAGAGGAAGGGUUUAUGGAGAUUGCCGAGGCCGAAAAGAAAGUUGAACAAACCAAACCUGUCUCUAAAUAUCCAGCACGCACAUUUUCAGAUUAUAAAGCCAAACAGGACAAGUACAGAACGCUCUGGAAUGAUGUUCUUGCCGAUCCACUUAAUUGGACUGAUAACCGGGCUGAGAAGGCGAAUGGAUCUAAAAAUCCGAAGUAUCCUGAUUUUAAGAACAAGACAGCAGAUGAGGCACUCUGGCUUGACUCAGCACCACAUUAUGUGCUAGAGAAGUUGGAUGGUCUGACCUUUAAUAGUGGCUACAAUGCGGCUAAAACAUAUAAGCCUUUUAAUUCUAGCAUGGGGAAAGGUACGAAUACAGGUUGGAGUAAAUUCAAGACAAGCCAAGCUGCCUCUCCUGAGAAACAAAAAAAGGAAGCGGAAUUGUGGCGGAAUCUGGUGGACAGUCCUCAAAGCUGGUGGGACAACCGAGCAGACAAGAGGUCACCUAAAGCCCCUGACUUCAAGCACAAGGACACCGGCGAGGCUCUGUGGUUGAGCCCCAAGACACCAAGUUGGGUUACAGAUGCGCUGCCGCCGGUGAAAGGAGGUAGCAAAGGAGCUAGAAGGCCGGAGACCCUGCUCUCUUGA
rnacentral:rRNA from 1 species